rnacentral:rRNA from 1 species
AGCGAACGCUGGCGGCAGGCCUAACACAUGCAAGUCGAACGAACCUUUCGGGGUUAGUGGCGGACGGGUGAGUAACACGUGGGAACGUGCCUUUAGGUUCGGAAUAACUCAGGGAAACUUGUGCUAAUACCGAAUGUGCCCUUCGGGGGGAAGAUUAAUCGCCUUUAGAGCGGCCCGCGUCUGAUUAGCUAGUUGGUUGAGGUAAUGGCUCACCAAGGCGACGAUCAGUAGCUGGUCUGAGAGGAUGAUCAGCCACCUUGGGACUGAGACACGGCCCAAACUCCUACGGGAGGCAGCAGUGGGGAAUCGUGCGCAAUGGGCGAAAGCCUGACGCAGCCAUGCCGCGUGAAUGAUGAAGGUCUUAGGAUUGUAAAAUUCUUUCACCGGGGACGAUAAUGACGGUACCCGGAGAAGAAGCCCCGGCUAACUUCGUG